CGGCAGCGCCGCCUUAUGGACUCAGGUGCUCGCUGCCGCGGUGCUGCUGCCCUACGCACGGCGCUUCGCCUGUCCCCGGCGGCGUACCCCGCCGCGCUUAGGGUCGGCGGGAACCCUUGUCGGGGGCUUCUGAACAGCUUCCAUUGUCCUCAGAGAGGAUCUGAGGAGUGCGAAACCUCCUUUCCCGCGCCACGUCGGCGCUGGGUAUCUGAGUCUGUAAAUGUGGAGACCCAAUGUGCAAGUGCCUCAGAGAGUAACACCUAUUCAUCAGCAGUCAGUCAAGGUUAUGUUUUACCGGAAGGAAAAAUCAUGCCAAACACAGUCUUCGUUGGUGGAAUUGAUUUAAGGAUGAAAGAGGCAGAAAUUCGGACUGUCUUUGAACAAUACGGUGCUGUGAAAGAGGUGAAAGUAAUCACUGACAGAACUGGUGUUUCGAAAGGAUAUGGAUUUGUAUCUUUCCUGGAGAAUGUGGAUGUUCAAAAAAUAGUAGAAACGCAAAUCAACUUCCAUGGCAAAAAGCUGAAACUGGGGCCAGCGAUUAGGAAGCAACAAAACCUGAAACAAGCUUCUUCCAUACAUCCCAGACCGUUUGUCCUUGGUCCUUCUCCACCACAGUUCCAUAGUGUAUGGGGUAGUCAGAAUACAGAGACGUAUUUUCAGCCUCCACCUAUAAUGAGCCCAGUAACACCGUAUGUUCAGCCAUAUCCAUACAGUUCAUCACCAACUGUACUGCUAAAGCAGCAAGUUCCCAUAGGAUAUCAACCGGCUUAUAACUAUCAGGGUCAACCACAGUGGGUUGCUGGGGAGCAAAGAAGUUAUGUUAUGCCUCCUGGUCUGGUUUAUGCAUCGGUAAACCAUCACGCUGAGGAUCCGGGAUUUCUACAGACGGAAUGUGCUGUUCCUGAGCCCAUGCACUUGCCUGCUAACAGCCCACAAAAGAAGUCUGUGGACAGGGGCAUGCAAACAGUAGUGUCCUGUCUGUCUAAUCCUGAGAACCAGCUGAGGAAUGACUCUCUGUCACAAGACGACAACAUAAAGGAGAGCAAAGUCUAUCACUUCCGAAAAGGAAGGACAGGAUUCAAAAGUGUUUGAUGAAUGAAGACUUCGGAGUAUCUAAAUUAAGUCGAUGUUACUACAGUUCAGCAAUACAUUCAGCAUAAUAUUUCUCAUAGUUGCUUCAAGUUAAGUUUGUGUUCAUGUUCAUGUUCGACCUGUUUUGAUACAGUUCCUGCUUGGGUAAUUUGAAGUUUAAAGUUGUAAGAGUUGACAAACUUCAGUUACAUUGUUUGCAUGCUUCCCCAGUUUGUUUGCUGCAUGUGGAUUUUCUUCUGAGUUUUAACGUACACUUUGCAUAUUACACAGGUUUGCUUUAACCACAAUUUGACUCACCCUGACCAGUUAAUUUUUGCAGUUUAAAAAUGGAAAUAGUUAUUUACCCAAGAGAUUGUAUUUUAAAACUGAGUUCUUAAAUCAGGGCAAAAGAAGAUGUAACUGAGCUGAAGCCCUUCUUAAGUCCUAGUUGCCUUUAGACAACAUAAUCAAUGUGAUUAUGUUCAUUACUGACACUUCAUGUACCUGCAGUCUUGAGCAUCACUAUUGGUUUUGGUUGAUUUGGUUGCCCUGGGCUGUAUUUAAAGCUUUAUGCUGGAGCUAUAAGAAAACAGAGAAAUGUGUAUGUGUAGCUCUCAUUGAAGAAUCUCAACACCAAAAGAAGACAUAAACUUCAAGAUACCUACACAGAGUGCACAUUUUCUUUUUAUUUGACCAAGUUUUACUCCCAGGACCAUCUGGUAUUUGUGUGCUAAACCAAGAUGAAUCGUGUCUUAACAUGAAGGUGAUCUGAUCCUCGAUUGCUACAAGGAAAAUGGUUUUUCCUAAAAGUCCUCUAACAGGUUCCCUUUAGUGUUGGAAGGCCACAGUAAGGUCUCCCUGGAGUCUUGUCUUCUCCAGGCUGAACAAUCGCAGUGCUCUCAGGUUGUCUUCAUGGGAGAGGUGCUCCAGCCCUCAUGGCCCUCCUUUGGACCUGACCCAGCAGGUCUAUGUCUUUCCUGUGGUUGGUAUUCCAGGUGAAUGCAGUACUCCAGUUGGGGUCUCACCAGAGAGGCAGAAUUGCUUCCCUUGGGAGGAAAGGGGGCAAACAACCCAGUGUUUUGGCCUGUAGCACAACUGCAGCCAUCCAGUUCUUGCCAUGUCAGCUGACUUUAAACUGGAUGUAGGCAGCAGUUAAAUUAUUAAAAUGGGAUUAAUGGCUUCUGUAUGUCAUAAUAAGAUAAAUGAUGCCUUUUUUAACAUAUGCCAAGGGGAGCCUCAGUACACAUGGUGGAGUAAUCAUUUAGAAAUGUGUUAUGAGCACACACUUCAGUCUUUUUCUUUCAGGGGAACAGUGAGGUAGGUAAUAGAAAUAUGCAUUGGUCAGAGGACAUUACCUAAAUUUGAAUCAUUUUGGUUGGAAAAGACCUUUAAGAUCAUUGAGUUCAACCAGCAUUAACCUAACACUGCCACAUCUACCAUAAACAAUCCCUUAAGUGCCAUAUCUACAUAUCUUCUAAAUAGCUCCAGGGAGAGUGACUCCAUCACUUUUCUGGGCCUCCUGUUCCAAUGCUUGAAAACUCUUGUGUGUGAAGAAAUUUUUGCGAAUAUCAAAACUAAAUCUCCCCUGGCACAACCUGAGGCCAUUUCUUGUCCUGUUGCUUGUUACUUUGGAGAAGAGACUGACCCCCAGCCUCGUUUCAGGUGGUUGUAGAGAGCAAUAAGAUCUUCCUGAGCCUCCUUUUCUCCAGGCUAAAGAACUCCAGCUCUCUCAGCUGCUCCUCAUCAGACUUGUGCUCGAGACCCUCACCUGCUUCCUUGCCCUUCUCUAGACAUGCUGUGGUGACUCAUUGUUUUUCUUGUCGUGAGGAAUCCAAAACAACACAGUAUCAAUAUGUGGCCUCACCAGAGCCCAGUACGGGGACACAGUUGCUUCCCUUAUCUUUGUGAUAGAAACCAGGAUGCUCUUCCCACCUGGGAACACUGCUGGCUCAUGUUCAGCCCUGCCUCAGCUGCAGCCUAGCAGCCAGCUAAGAACUGAUGCGGAGCAGGGGAAUCCAACUGUUAAAGCAUCACAAAGGCCUGGGGCAGGUGCUGAUGCAAUGUGAUUUCUGCCCAGUGCUCUAAGUGUCAAGGCAAAGAAAUUCAAUAAAGCACAGGAAAAGGG